GGGCCCGCACAAGCGGUGGAGCAUGUGGUUUAAUUCGAUGAUACGCGAGGAACCUUACCAGGGCUUAAAUGUAACGGGACAGAUCUAGAGAUAGAUCCUUCUUCGGACUCAUUACAAGGUGCUGCAUGGUUGUCGUCAGCUCGUGCCGUGAGGUGUCAGGUUAAGUCCUAUAACGAGCGCAACCCCCAUCGUUAGUUGCCAACGAGUAAUGUCGGGAACUCUAACGAAACUGCCGGUGCAAACCGUGAGGAAGGUGGGGAUGACGUCAAAUCAUCACGGCCCUUACGUCCUGGCUACACACGUGCUACAAUGCUACGGACAAAGGGCAGCAAACUCGCGAGAGCUAG
rnacentral:rRNA from 1 species